rnacentral:rRNA from 1 species
UACGGAGGAGGCAAGCGUUAUCCGGAAUUAUUGGGCGUAAAGCGUCCGUAGGUGGUCGCUUCAAGUCUGCUGUCAAAGACCGGGGCUUAACCCCAGAAAGGCAGUGGAAACUGAAGCGCUAGAGUGCAGUAGGGGUAGAGGGAAUUCCCGGUGUAGCGGUGAAAUGCGUAGAGAUCGGGAAGAACAUCGGUGGCGAAAGCGCUCUGCUGGACUGCAACUGACACUCAGGGACGAAAGCUAGGGGAGCGAAUGGG